rnacentral:rRNA from 1 species
AUGAAGCUUAUUGCCUGGAAUUGCCGAGGCAAAGGAAAUGGCCUAGGUAGUGAAAAGAUGACAUACCUGGCCAAUUUGAUGAGAUCAACGAGUGCUCAGGUAACUUUUGUGUCUGAGAUAAAAUCAUCUAAAAUUAACACUGUUGAUCUUAUCAACCGGUUUGACAUAGUAGACAGUAUAGUUGUGCCAUCUAAAGGAAGAUCCGGAGGUCUUUGGUUGAUGUGGACUGAUGAGGUUAAAGUUCAAGUUCAGUAUGUUGAUUUCCAUGUCAUCCUUGCAUCUGUUCUUAAUAUAGCCUCUAACAUAACUUUUGCGUUAGUUUGUAUUUAUGGUGAUCUGUAUCAUCGUGAAACUUGUCAGAUCUGGGACCGGAUUACCUCAUUUGUCAAUGAUAAUCAAGGCAAGCCUAUCUUAUGUAUGGGAGAUAUUAACGAUAUUCUCUAUGAUGCAGAUAAGAGUUCUCCCAAUGUUAAUAUAUAUCGUAUGCGUGCAUUCUGUGUGUUGGUUAAACAAUGUGGUUUCAUAGAUCUCGGGUAUAGUGGUCCAGCAUAUACAUGGACCAAUAGGCGCUACACUUCAAAGCCAACUCUUGAGCGCCUUGAUCGAUGCCUUGCUAAUGCAGAUUGGUGUAAUAUCUUCCCUAAUUCCAAUGUUUUUAAUCUGCCUAUAAUUUUUAGUGAUCAUGCUCCUAUUCUUUUAUCCACUGAUGGCCAAUAUCGGAAGCCUAAAAGGAACUUCAAGUUUGAAAAUUGGUGGCUUAUGGAAAAUGACUUCCAUGUUCAUGCUAAGAAUGUUUGGUCUAGCUCCAAAAAUAAGUUGUUCCACAAUAGGAUUACUAACCUUGCAGGGGCUUUAAGGAAGUGGUGCAGAAAGAAGAAACCGAUUCAACAAGAGCUGGAUUAUCUAGGUGAGCAAAUAAGAAAUAUACAAAUGCAGCCGAUUCAGACCUUACAUACAUUCUGGGCGACCAAGUAUCGAAGGAGAUUACACCUACAGUGUCCCUGA